rnacentral:rRNA from 1 species
AGUGAACGCUGGCGGUAGGCCUAACACAUGCCAGUCGAACGGCAGCACAGUAAGAGCUUGCUCUUACGGGUGGCGAGUGGCGGACGGGUGAGGAAUACAUCGGAAUCUACUUUUUCGUGGGGGAUAACGUAGGGAAACUUACGCUAAUACCGCAUACGACCUACGGGUGAAAGCAGGGGAUCUUCGGACCUUGCGCGAUUGAAUGAGCCGAUGUCGGAUUAGCUAGUUGGCGGGGUAAAGGCCCACCAAGGCGACGAUCCGUAGCUGGUCUGAGAGGAUGAUCGGCCACACUGGAACUGAGACACGGACCAGACUCCUACGGGAGGCAGCAGUGGGGAAUAUUGGACAAUGGGCGCAAGCCUGAUCCAGCCAUACCGCGUGGGUGAAGAAGGCCUUCGGGUUGUAAAGCCCUUUUGUUGGGAAAGAAAAGCAGCAGGUUAAUACCCCGCUGUUCUGACGGUACCCAAAGAAUAAGCACCGGCUAACUUCGUG